rnacentral:rRNA from 1 species
GAUUAUAGCCAUAUCACCCUGCAGCCCAAGACUGCUUGCCCACUGAAGCCAAGCAGGGUUGAGCCUGGUCAGUACCUGGAUGGGAGACCUCCUGGGAAAACUAGGUUGCUGUUGGAA